rnacentral:tRNA from 1 species
CUAAUUCUAGUGUAAAAGCACAUAAAAUUUCCAAUUUUAAAGAUUUAUUAGA